rnacentral:rRNA from 1 species
UCUGAGAGGACGACCAGCCACACUGGGACUGAGACACGGCCCAGACUCCUACGGGAGGCAGCAGUGGGGAAUUUUGGACAAUGGGCGCAAGCCUGAUCCAGCUAUUCCGCGUGUGGGAUGAAGGCCCUCGGGUUGUAAACCACUUUUGUAGAGAACGAAAAGACACCUUCGAAUAAAGGGUGUUGCUGACGGUACUCUAAGAAUAAGCACCGGCUAACUACGUGCCAGCAGCCGCGGUAAUACGUAGGGUGCGAGCGUUAAUCGGAAUUACUGGGCGUAAAGGGUGCGCAGGCGGUUGAGUAAGACAGAUGUGAAAUCCCCGAGCUUAACUCGGGAAUGGCAUAUGUGACUGCUCGACUAGAGUGUGUCAGAGGGAGGUGGAAUUCCACGUGUAGCAGUGAAAUGCGUAGAUAU